AUGGCCCAGCCCAAGGCCGCGCGCGCCGCCGCCGCCGCCGCCGUGCCGGACAUCGCCGCGCAGCUCAACCUCGCCUCCGCGUGCAUCAACGGCGCCGAGUCGAUGAUGGCGGCGCCGGCUGCCGCGGGGAGGCCGCCGCUAGUGGUGGUCGGCCACCGUGGGAAGGGGAUGAACGCGCUGGCGUCCCCGGACGAGCGGCUGCGGGAGGUGAAGGAGAACACGGUGCGGUCCUUCAACGACGCCGCACGCGUCGCCGGCGUCGGCUACGUCGAGUUCGACGUCCAGGUGACCAAAGAUGGCUGCCCGAUCGUCUUCCACGACAAUUUCAUCUACACCGAACAAGAUGGCAAAAUCUCCGGGAAGCGCGUCACUGAUCUUCCACUUGACGAGUUCCUCUCCUACGGCCCUCAAAAGGACCAGGACAAGGUCGGGAGGCCAUUGCUGCGGAAGCUGAAGGACGGCAGGACACUGAUGUGGGACGUCCGUUCCGACGAACCGCUCUGCACGCUGCGGGAGGCGUUCGAGGGCGUCGACGCGCGCGUCGGCUUCAAUGUCGAGCUCAAGUUUGACGAUGAUCUCGAUUACCAGGAGGAGGAGCUCGCCGGCGUCCUGCAAGCCAUCCUAAAGGUUGUUUUUGAGCAUGCCAAGGACAGGCCCGUCAUUUUCUCCAGCUUCCAGCCUGACGCCGCGCAGCUUAUGCGAAAACUGCAAGACCAGUACCCUGUUUACUUCCUGACGGUUGGAGGGACGCAGAUCCACGCCGACGCAAGGCGGAACUCGCUGGAGGAGGCUGUCAGGCUGUGCCGCGCCGGCGGCCUGCAGGGCAUCGUGUCGGAGGCCAGGGCCGUGUUCCGGCACCCGUCGGCGGUGGCCAGGGUCAAGGAGUCCGACCUCUCCCUGCUCACCUACGGGCAGCUCAACAACGUGCCGGAGGCGGUGUACAUGCAGCACCUGAUGGGGGUGGACGGCGUGAUCGUCGACCUGGUGCAGGAGAUCGCCGAGGCCGUUUCCGAGUUCGCGGCCGUGGUGGCGCCGGAGCCCAGCCCCGAAGAAGGCCAGGCCGGAAGGUUGGGACCGGAUAGGGCUGCGCCGGCGAAGAAGACGCCCAACUUCUCGCAGCGGGAGAUUUCCUUCCUGCUGAGGCUCAUACCCGAGCUCGUACAGUAG
rnacentral:rRNA from 1 species